CCAAGCAAGCAAGCAAGCAAGCGGGAGUCCCGGCUCUCCCUCGGCUCCGUCCCUUCCUUUCUUCCGACAUCCCCUUCUCCCGUCCCUCCUAUCCGCAUUGAUUUCCCCCUCCGCCCCGAGGCUCCACCCGGCUUUGGGGCGGCGCUUGUUCGAAUCCAGCCCUGCCAGAAAAUCCCGAGGAAGAGUUUUUGCGUCCCUGCUUCACGUCUGAAGAUUAUUAGGCUUGGGCUGGAGCUUCGGCUUGCUUUCCUCCUUGCCGCCAACCUCUCUCUUCCCGCCCCCCCACCGCCCGCCAGCGGCCCGAUCCACGUCCUUUGCUCGGCGGGUCCAAAGAUCUUUAAGGAAAAAACAGUCCCUUGUGCUAAAGCUGGGGCUUCAUUGACCAUAACAAGGGGCAUGCUGUUCUGGAGUGAAAGAUCCUCUUUUCAGCGGUGAAGGAGCUUAAUGAACGAAUAAGAAGCCGAGAAGCUUCAAUGCAUGAGAACCUGUUUGGGGGACGCACAGAUAAAUCCCUUGGAAAUAGGGGAGAAAGUUCUCAUGCUUGGUCUUAGCAAUGAACUGCUUGUCUUAAAUCUGCCAUUUUGACCACAGCACUGGAAAAUGGAGUUUGACGUGGCAGGCAGCUGAACUUUAGUCAUGUGUAAGUAUACUCGACCCCAUUAUGUGUUUUUCCCAGAAGAGAGAAAAUUAUAUUCUCAACAGCCAAGACCUAGAACAGCUCCAAGCCUGUAUGCUUUAUGGAUAAGCCACAGUUGUGGUAAAUGUGGAAAUUUCACCAGCAACUUCAAGAUCUGAAGCACUACAAAUUGAUUUGAUGCUAGCAGGAAGAAAACGGAGGGUAUUCAUUUGCGUCCCCUGCAGCAUCAGCUGACCUCAAAGAGCCUCAGAUCCUAAGUGACUUUUAGCGGAUCUGAUUGUAAGGACCCACUUCUGCUUUUUUAAAAAAAGACCACAAAACUUUAUUUAUUUAAUCGUCUUUCUCGGGUUGGGCGCUGGAGAGAAAAGCUU
rnacentral:lncRNA from 1 species